rnacentral:rRNA from 1 species
AUGAACGCCAAGGGGUUCAGAGAUAUGGGGAGUAGACCAUGUCCAUCACCAGGCGCCGCUGGUGCAUUCUCUGGCAGGUGUACCCGCUUCCACUUGGGCAGUAGCUGCUUCUCCCUGACGCCCACCACCGCUACGGGCUGCCGCUGCUACUGCUCUUGCUCGUUGGUGCCGCUGGUGCAUUCUCUGGCAGGUGCACCCGCUUCCACUUGGGCAGUAGCUGCUUCUCCCCGACGCCCACCACCGCUACGGGCUGCCGCUGCUACUGCUCUUGCUCGUUGGCGCCGCAUGCUGCUGCUCGCCGAAGCCUUGUGCUGCCGUUGUCCUGGACCUGGUCGCGAGUCGCGACUCACACCAUGGUUGCCGCCACAAACUGCCGUGUUCUGUGAAGAACGCAACUUCAAAGCAGCAAAAGCUUCACCACCGCUGGCUCCCAUGACAUUGCUUUUUCUCCGGCUAUUCCAACGGUGCUGCCCCGCCACUGUUGGUCAUCCUCUUGGAGCCACUUUAGCCAGGAAUGAGUGUACUCCAGCCCGGCGACGUCAAUGGCGAUGGAGGUGUGGAAAGAGUCGGAGGCGGCAAGCAGGGCGGGCGAAGAGUAGGCCGAGGCCAAGGCGGCACAGGAGUGCCAGCCAUGAGGCCCGCCUCCACCUGCAAGAACUUCGAGCCGUAGCGCUGGAUCCUUCUGUCUCCCGCGCCCGUCCUCCGUCGCCCAGCUCCGGCGAGCUCCUGCCUAGAUCGCCCCACCUCCCCUCCUUUCUCCCUUCUUCUCUCCCUCACGGCCUCACCUCCCUGUCUUCUUUCUCCCCAGGACCCGCUGAUGCCAUGGAUGCGCCCGGGAAGCCUCGCCGCCGGCCUUGCUCGUCGUCACCGGUGACCCCCGCCUCGCUGCCGGCCUCUGGAUCCGCCUCCCAAGCACCUUCCGUGCAUGGAUCCGUCCCCUUCAAGCUCCAUCCGCCGCCGCCCUUCUGCAUGGAGCCGCCCCCAGCCGCUCGUGCCGCCGCGCGUUGA